UGCCAAACCAGGAGGACCAGCUAGAAGCUGGUGUCCCAGGAGUGAUAGAUUGUCUCUGAUCCUGCCUUGCUGCCUCAUGUAAAUGCCCUGAGCGAAGUGUCAGACAAGAGAAUGGAUGAGUCCACCACCAUUUAUAAAAUCUAAACUAACCUAGAGCCCCUGUGGCUCACUGGAUGGACGUUGCAGGUACGAAGUAAAACAGCAAACCUGCAAAAGUAUGUGAAUUUACACAAUGGCUGUUUAGCGUUAGACGGGGAAGGUGGUAUGAAGACGUGGCAGGCCUCUGUGUAAGUAGCCAUUGCAUAAUGGAUCUCACAGUAGCA
rnacentral:lncRNA from 13 species